GGGCAUGCGUGAUAUUAGGUAGUUGGCGGGGCAACGGCCCACCAAGCCCACGAUAUCUAGGGGUUCUGAGAGGAAGGUCCCCCACAUUGGUACUGAGACACGGACCAAACUCUACGGGAGGCAGCAGUGAGGAAUAUUGGUCAAUGGACGAGAGUCUGAACCAGCCAAGUCGCGUGAAGGAAGACGGAUCUAUGGUUUGUAAACUUCUUUAGUGCGGGAACAAAGCGGCGUCGUGACGCCGGAUGAGUGUACCGCAAGAAUAAGCAUCGGCUAACUCCGUGCCAGCAGCCGCGGUAAUACGAGGAUGCGAGCGUUAUCCGGAUUUAUUGGGUUUAAAGGGAGCGCAGGCUGCGAGGCAAGUCAGCGGUCAAAUGUCGGGGCUCAACCCCGGCCUGCCGUUGAAACUGUCUUGCUAGAGUUCGAGUGAGGUAUGCGGAAUGCGUUGUGUAGCGGUGAAAUGCAUAGAUAUGACGCAGAACUCCGAUUGCGAAGGCAGCAUACCAACUCGCGACUGACGCUGAGGCUCGAAAGCGUGGGUAUCGAACAGGAUUAGAUACCCUGGUAGUCCACGCAGUAAACGAUGAAUACUAACUGUUCGGAGGGCGACCUCUGAGUGGUAAAGCGAAAGCGUUAAGUAUUCCACCUGGGG
rnacentral:rRNA from 1 species